AUUCUGGGCGUAAGCGCACGCAGGCGGUGUGUGAAGUCCGAUGUGAAAUCCCCGCGGCUCAACCUGGGAACUGCAUUGGAAACUGGCAAGCUAGAGUCUUGUAGAGGGGGGUCGAAUUCCCUGUGUAGCGGUGAAAUGCGUAGACAUCUGGAGGAAUACCGGUGGCGAAGGCGGCCCCCUGGACUGAUACUGACGCUCAGGUGCGAAAGCGUGGGGAGCAAACAGGAUUAGAUACCCUGGUAGUCC
rnacentral:rRNA from 1 species